UACGAAGGAUGCAAGCGUUAUCCGGAUUUAUUGGGCGUAAAGAGCGUGUAGGCGGCCGCACAGGUCCGUUGUGAAAACUGGAGGCUUAACCUUCAGACGUCGAUGGAAACCGUGCGGCUAGAGUCCGGAAGAGGAGAAUGGAAUUCCUGGUGUAGCGGUGAAAUGCGCAGAUAUCAGGAAGAACACCCGUGGCUAAGGCGGUUCUCUAGUACGGUACUGACGCUGAGACGCGAAAGCGUGGGGAGCGAACAGG
rnacentral:rRNA from 1 species